UGGCCAGACUCCUACGGGAGGCAGCAGUGAGGAAUAUUGGUCAAUGGCCGGAAGGCUGAACCAGCCAAGCCGCGUGAGGGAGGAAGGCGCAGAGCGUCGCAGACCUCUUUUGCCGGGGGACAAAAGGCCGGACUCGUCCGGUCCUGAGGGUACCCGGAGAAAAAGCAUCGGCUAACUCCGUGCCAGCAGCCGCGGUAAUACGGAGGAUGCGAGCGUUAUCCGGAUUUAUUGGGUUUAAAGGGUGCGUAGGCGGUAUUUUAAGUUAGGGGUAAAACGUCGGGGCUUCACCUUGAUUGGCCACUAAAACUGGAGUACUAGAGUACAGACGAGGUAGGCGGAAUAAGUUAAGUAGCGGUGAAAUGCUUAGAUAUAACUUAGAACCCCGAUAGCGAAGGCAGCUUACCAGACUGUUACUGACGCUGAAGCACGAGAGCGUGGGUAGCGAACAGGAUUAGAUACCCGCGUAGA
rnacentral:rRNA from 1 species